rnacentral:rRNA from 1 species
GACGAACGCUGGCGGCGCGCUUAACACAUGCAAGUCGAGCGAUGAAAUUUCGACAGAUCCCUUCGGGGUGAAGAUGAAAUGGAUUAGCGGCGGACGGGUGAGUAACACGUGAGUAACCUGCCUUUGACAUUGGGAUAGCAUCGGGAAACUGGGAUUAAUACCAAAUGACACUAACUGAUCACAUGAUCAAUUAGUCAAAGAAAUUCGGUCAAAGAUGGACUCGCGGCUGAUUAGCUAGUUGGUGAGGUAACGGCCCACCAAGGCGACGAUCAGUAGCCGGCCUGGGAGGGUGAUCGGCCACAUUGGAACUGAGACACGGUCCAAACUCCUACGGGAGGCAGCAGUGGGGAAUAUUGCACAAUGGGGGAAACCCUGAUGCAGCGACGCCGCGUGAGCGAAGAAGGCCUUCGGGUCGUAAAGCUCUUUUAUGAGGGAAGAUAAUGACGGUACCUCAAGAAAAAGCCCCGGCUAACUACGUG